CACCUAUAGUAGUCGAUUAUAGGUUGCGCCAAUCAAGGUGCCUUUGAGUCACAUGAAAAUUGCAAUGGAGUUGCACCAUAGUAAUUGGAGUCAUAGUAUUAAUAACUCUCAUAAAGAUUACUCAAAAAUUUCAAUUCUAUUCACCAUGUUGCAAAGAGGGGGUUGUUUUGGGGGCAUUUAUAAGUAUAAGUCACCAUGUUGCUCCUUGGACACCUAUAAAUCAAGUGCCUCCACAAAUUCAUGCACAACCAAGGUAUGUCGUACUGGUCCGUACCGGCCUCCACAGAUUCAUGCACAACCAAGGUAUAUCGUACCGGUCCAUACCGGCUGGUACGAACCGAUCCGGCCUGGGACCGAUACCAGAUCAGCGUGAAAUCCGGUACCGAAAACUUAUCGUUGGCGAACCGGUACGUGGCCAGUACGAGACCGGUAUGCGGAA
rnacentral:lncRNA from 1 species